rnacentral:rRNA from 1 species
UACGUAGGGGGCAAGCGUUGUCCGGAUUUAUUGGGCGUAAAGAGCGUGUAGGCGGCUUUACAGGUCCGUUGUGAAAACUCGAGGCUCAACCUCGAGACGCCGGUGGAAACCGUAAAGCUAGAGUCCGGAAGAGGAGAGUGGAAUUCCUGGUGUAGCGGUGAAAUGCGCAGAUAUCAGGAAGAACACCCGUGGCGAAGGCGGCUCUCUGGGCCGAUACUGACGCUGAGGAGCGAAAGCGUGGGGAGCGAACAGG